GGACAAUGAGCAAAUGAAAAAUACAUCAUUUUUAGACCUCAGGAAAUGCAAAAUACCACAAUGUGCUGUCAUUCUUUACUCAGAACAACUCUCAAUGAAAAAAAAAGCCAAACAUAAACUUGCUAAAGGUUGGUAAGAAAUAUAAACACUCUCACAUGGAGAAACAGAGAAAGGAGGGAGGGAGGGAAGGAAGAAAAGGGACAGAGAAAGAGAAACUUGAGAGGCAGAAAUAGGGCAAAUGGAAAAGUGUUUUAUAUAAUUGUGUUCCCCCGCUACCUUAUUUGUUCUCAUGGAAGUCAUCAUAGAGAGGAAAAUCUGUGCUGUGCCUACAAUCUCUGUCUUAGUGAUGAACUGGAAAGAAAAGAAAAAAGAAAUUGGGAAAAACAGGAGAGAUUUGAGAGCUAUGUGUAGUCCUUGCAUUAGAGCCUUAGACGCUGGAGAAAUUGCUUCAUUUCCUGGGGCUCCUGUCUCCUUAAAUGGCACAAUGUGUUUACCUGCCGAUGAGCAGCUGUACCUGGAACCCAGUGGUGAGGAUACUGGAAGGAUUGCAUCAGUUCUGUACCUGACUCAUUGAGAUGGGGUAAUGGUAAAGUUGGAGGUUCCUGCUUGAUGAUGGUGGCUUUUAUUUCAACUGCUUCUGUUGGGUGAAAGUGAGGAAAAUAUGGCAAACCUCAAAGCAUGGACCAGGGGGAAGUCAGGCUCAACCAGACUGUUCACGGGCAUAUGGUCUGAGAUGAUCCAUCAUGGUCUAUGAUGUCAGAUUAUCCACUGAGACUUGGGACUCUGCAGAAAUAUAGUUCUGUUCAGAUAAUGGUAUUUCCAGUUGUUGUGAUGGACAAGACCGACGCUGUGGAAAACAGACUGGUAGGAUACCAGAUGACAGACGCACAAGGCAGGCAGAAGAACAAGGCAUUGUGAACUGAGCCGUAGGUGAGUUUUGCAGUGCCUUCCUCCACUGCAUUUCUCAGCAGUCAGCAUUGGUUACCAUCCCAAACCCCAUAGUCAACCAGUCCACAGACACACAGCCUUUGGUGUGGUAAGUUCCUGGCCACUGUCGUGAUGAUUACCCAAGCUUCCACAGGCUCUUCCCGCUGUGCAUCCCCCUCCUGCUACUCUUGUCUCGCUUCAUAAACCUGAAAGGCCAUGUAAAGGGCUGCUUUCAGCCCCUUCCUCCCUGUGGUUAACAGCUCCAAUCAUUUACUCUUCCUCUGCAUCGUUUGUUUUGUUUUUCCUGUCUUUAACUCAUUCUCUUUAUAUUUUUUCUGGAAUAUUCUCCUAAAUCCCCUAUAUUCUGCCCUGAAUAUUUUGCCUUCCAAUACUGAAGCAAGAAAAAAUGAGAGACCUGGAAGGACUUGUGGGCAGGGGAAAGAAUAAGAUCAAAAUAGACUGCAGGAAAACAAUAAAAAUAAUUCUAAAAUGUAAUUUAAAAAGAACAAUCAGAACCUACCCCUAUGGAACUCCAUUAUUUUACCUACAUGUAUAAUGUAUAUCACAUGUGAACACUGUAUACAUCCACUGACUUUAGCAGGGUACUGUGUAGACAAAGAAGCAAAAUGACACCAUGGAAAUAUGGUCUUUGAGACCAAGAUGACUUAGAUUUAAAUGGCUGAUUUGCUGUUUACCGAGUGUUUGAGCCUUGGAAGUAUUAUGACUUAACCUCUAGGUUCCUAUGGUUCCUUUGUUUAUCCUACGAGUGAGCUGUAAAACUUAUCAUCAUAUUGGCAUACAGGCAACCAAUGUUUGGAGCCCAUCAUGUCUGUCAUUUCUAUGAUUAAUCAACUCCUUCACAUGCCUGUUUUUUAAGCUGCAGAUCUUUUUGUGGAUACAUAAUCCAUAUUGUAUUAAUACAGAAUCUCAAUCAUAUUAAAAUUUGUUUAAAUGAAUGAGUUUUGAAGGCACUUUUCAGGGUCCAUAGACAUAGUAAACAGACAGAAUCAAUGUCAAUUAAAAAUCCAGAAGUGUCUCACCUUGCUUGGCCCCUGUUUCUCAGAGACCACCCCCACUGAUCACUUUUCCAUUCCAAUUCCAAGUUUUCCUUUUCUGUCUUGGGUGAAAAGUUGAGUGAUAGAAGUUGGGAUGUAGGUCUGAAAACCUCAGGAAAUGGUUAAGUUUACUUUCCUUCUUAAAUGUAUAUUUUAACAUUUUAACAGAGGACAUUGUUAAAAAACCAAGCUGCUCUUCUGACUCCUAAGAAUGGUGAUUUCUUGGCAGAUCUAUAUGUUGUUUUCCACCCUAGACUAGCAACUCAAUCUCCAAGGAAGAACACAAGGAAUCAGGUUUUAACAGGGACAUCAUCACUGGGCCAGCUGGAAAGCCUGAUCUAAAUCAAUCACAAGAUAAUAUAUCUGAACACCAUCCUGCCUAUGUGAAGUUUGUAUGCAACAAACAGGAUUAAUUUAACUCCUCAGGGAGUUUAGAUUCCCUUCGCAAAUUAUAUGCAACACAUAUAUGUAUGUGUACUAUGUGUAGUGUGUAUAUUUAUGUGGUAGUACCCAUGUACAUACUCAGCUGUACUUUUCAGGGUUUCAGUUAUCCAUGGUCAACCAUAGACAGAAUGCAUUCAAUGGAAAGUUUUAAGAUAAACACCUCAUGCGUCUUCAGUAACUUUCAUGGGACUGUAUAUUUAUGACUAUUCUUUCUUGCCAUCAUCUAUUACUGUUAAUCUCUUACUGUGCAUAAUUUAUAAAGUUCACAAUUGGAGUGUAUAUAUAAAGCAAACAUCACAUCUAGAGGACGUGGGUAUCAUUUGUGCUUUCAAGUGUCCACUUAGAAAAUGCCUAUGAAGACACAUAAGUAAGAAGAGAUCACUGUGUAUGCGCAUAGGAUUAGACAUAUAUACACACACAUACUCAUACAUACACAUUAAAAAUGAUAAACUAUCAUACAGCUUCACUGCUGAAAGAAAUAGGGCAAUAGGAGCAAAAUACACAAGAAAAAAAAAGAUCCCCCAAAAGUUAGGAUCUUUUUCUUGGAGGAAAACAGCUGUUUCUUAGAGAAGUUUAUACAGGCAUUUUCAGUACUACUUAUGGAUAUAUUCAAAUAGCCACAUGAGUCAAAUAAAUUGUAUAGCAAACCUCCCCCCCUAUACCUGUCACUGAUUUUGAAUAUGACUUGCCCACCACCCACCCUUCCCGGUGCUCCUCCUGGAAACCUUUUAAAGCAGGCCACAGAAGCCCUGUACUGGCCACAUGUUUAUUACACUUCUAGGGCAGGAUCACAGGAAUGUUUACUUCAUUUCUACACCUGCCCUGUAGAAGGAGUGCAGACCACAAACCACGGUUCAAGUAGCACUGUGUCAAAGCUCAUGCCAAAGGGCUAGGGUGUAGCUCAGUAGUAGAGCUAGUAUUGCCUAGCAUGUGUGGGAACCCGCAUUUGAUCCCCAGUCCUGGAAAAUUAAAGAAGUAAAUAAAUGAAUAGGCUCAGCAGGGGCUGUGGUGAAGAGGAUUCCAAGCAAGAAACAAGUGACAAGAAAAUGAAAAAGCUCCCCUGGGAAGAACUAACUUCACUACAGGAAUCUGAACUAUGCCAGGUAUGCUGUGUGUUCACUUCUUUUUUAAUGGCUGUUAUCAUUGUGGCAAGAUGACACCCUCACUUUCCAAUGUAUAGAUGAGGAGACAGAGGUUCUAAGAAGAGAGCAACCUACACAGAGUCUUCUAACUAAAACUGUCAGCCUCUCUCUUGGUAACCCUCCAGAAAUUUAUGGUAGGACUAUGUUUCUUAAUUCUAUAUAUUGAAUCAUAGAACAGGGAGAAGUCAAGUUGGUAUCUGAAAACUUCCCCUUAAUGACUAGUUUUCAUACUGUUGGAAGGUGCCAUGCACACUGCUGGAGGAGAAAAUUAGAUUGAUUUUAUCUGGGUAUGAACCUAGAGAACUAUGAUACUGACCAGCCUGGCAAAAGGAUGCCUGCUAGCACAAUAGUGGCACAAAAAAACAUGGAAGUAAACAACCAUUUUCUGGUUGGAUUUAAGGCUCAUUCUACAAAAUAAAACCCUUACAUGGCAUUGCUAUAGGGGUCAAGAAUCUAUGGCUAGAUAGGCCAUAGGCCCUAGAGGGACCUGCUAACAUUAUUCUGCUAAUGAAACAUAUAUUAAACCAAAUUCUAUCAGUUUAUUGUUAUAUCCACGGACUAGUGCAUCUCUCAAGCCUCCUCAGAAGAAAUGCUUUUCACAACAGAAAGCAAUCACAGAGAUCCCACUAUAUGACUGGUUAGGGCAUAAAGAAUGAGGGACUACAAAAUGCAGAAUUUUAAAAGGCAUCUAUAUUGCAUCCCCUCCUCCUCCAAGGCUCUGGGAUCACUUUAGAAGUGGGGAAGAAAGACUGUAAGAGUCAGUGGUUGUGAAUGACUACAAAGAAAGUGUUUUUUGCUGGCACAGGUUGGAAGUUGAAUAGAUACAAAUACACUAUUUGUAGUUACAGUGUGUGCACGACCUGCACAAGUUCAACCUAGACUAAGUCCCAGAAUAAAGAAGGGUUGUGGUCAUCAAGACUCACCUCUAGCUCAAGAACUAUUGGCAAAUGACAGUUUCUGGGAGAGGGAGUUUUGUUGAAGGGUGUGGCCCUUGGUAGGCAGACCAUACUCAAACGGAAGGUCACACAUUCAAAAAUAGUGUGGGCAGUCAAAUUAGACUUGAUGGGUAUAAUAAUAAUAGUAAUAAUAAUAAUAAUAAUAAUAAUAAUAAUAAUAAAGUUGGGUGGUUAAGGAAGGGGGAAUAUAUCUUGGAGUAGCUGGGGAUGAGGUGAAUAUGAUCAAAAUACAUUGUAUGAUCUUGUCAAAGAACUAAAAUGAAUGAGAAAAUUAAUUAUUUAUUCUUUGAAAAUUUCAUAGAUUUGUACAAGGUAUUUUGACUAUAUCCACUCACCACUUCCUCCUUUCAACUUCCUCUAGUUCUCCCCACCCUAUCUCUUUCCUGUCUCUGUGUCCUCUUUUAUUUUUUAAUGUCAUUGAUAACCUCAUGAGUUCAAUUGAUAAUGCCCGUAGUCACACAGGAAGGACCAUCUCCUGGAUCGUAGGCAAAUAAAUCAUCAGUAGCCGUGUUCCAAAGUUGAGGAUGAAGGCCUGGAAGCAGAGUUGGUGGAAUGCACCCAGGUGGGGACACAGUGUGUAAGGAGAAUAGUGUGCCUUAGACAUAGCAGCCACCAAUGAGAGUCAUGAAAACUAAAGUGGAUAAAGCGAUUAAAUCCUAAGAGAGCCAGGUAACAUAUGAUAGGGAAGUUGCUCACAUAAUCUCAAUAAGAUGGUUGCCUAAACAGGCAUAAUGACAAUACCAGUUGAAACACCAACAGGGAUGGGAAAAAUUGCACACCAGGUCCUAUCCUUAGAUAGAAAAUCAGACCUCUAUAGGGAAAAGUACACUCAUGGGUUAUCCAAUCUGAAGUUGUCAGCCCUAAAUAGAUGUACAUAGGCACAAUACUAAAUAGACUCAGUGUGUUUAUGUAUGUAUGUGUUUUCUCUCUCUCUCUCUCUCUCUCUCUCUCUCUCUCUCUCUUUGUGUGUGUGUGUGUGUGUGUGUGUGUGUAUGUGUGUAAGAAUGGAAAUUAAAGAUGAGGUCAUGGAUUUGAGAGUGGAGACAUAGGAGGAGUUGGAGGGGUAAAUAGGGAGCAGGAAUGAUGUAAAUAUAGUGUUCAUAUAUGAAUUUUUUAAUUUUUAAAAACAUUAAAAAUUUAAAUCAAAUUAAAAAACCGAAGUCCCAAUUUUCCAAUGGUUUAAGAUAAUAAGCACUAAAUACUUCCCCAUCACAAAAUCAAACAACAAAAUCACUUUUCAUCACAAAGUGCUUUAGUCUAACUGACAUUUAUGGAGCCCGCAUUCACUCACUCCGUCAUGAUAUUUUUCUGUUGGCUUAUCAUUUACACAUGAAUCUACUGAUAUUUUCAUUAUCAUCUGCCCCCCAUAUCCUCUUAGUCAGCAUCCCACUGACCACUCAGUGUGGCAGUUCCUGGUGGGUUUAAAUUAAAUCUCCAUUCUUCUAUUUAUCAAUAAGACUCAGAGGUCAAAGGCUCUGGUGAAAACCGGCUAGCUCAGAAAGACUGAGUUGCUUUUUGGCCUGAGACACUACAAGAUACAUGUCUCUUCUCUGUCCCAGAACCAAGAGAGCCCAAAUUCUAGUCCCCACCCUUUCUGUCCUGUGCAUCUUCUCUAUCCAAAUCGCUGGCUUUUCUAUGGCCAGUUCUGGUCAGCUAGUCAUUGGCUCCACCCUCUGAUUCAGGGUAUCUCUUUUGGGCAGUCUCGGAAUGUCAGAGUGCAAUCAAUAUAUCUCACACUAACACAAGUUGCCCCCAUAUUGAGGAGGAAAUCAAAGCUACAGGUUCCAGCAGAAAGUAAGGGGUAAAAGAGAAGGUGCACCCCUUCCUUAGAGACUGGCUCUGUUAAUACCUACCUGGCAAACCUAGAUGCAGGUUCCAGCACAGGUAGGUGGGGGAUUAUAGGUCCCAGUGGGGUAGCUCCCCAAAUUAUGAGUGGGGAACAUAUGUUUAAAUUGCCCCCAGUUGCCUUAGCACCAGGUCCCUCAAAGAUGGUCUUAGUGUAAGGAGAAGGUAACAGGGCAUCUUAAGGUGAGCACAUGGGCCUCAGGUUUUGUGCAAGGGAAUCAUGUUACUAAGUAUAUUCACCUUAGAAAAAUAUGGCAGCAGUGGGAUAAUUCUGAAGGAUGAAAGCAACACAGUAAGAAAGAAAAAGCAACUGUGCCAACAGCAAGGCAAGAGCUGAAGAUGGGUGAAAGCAUGGAGGUGACAAGUUUGCAGACAGAGAUCAUAGGCAGGUUCAAAGGCAGGGAUGACUGGACCAGGGGACAGGAAGACAGGAAGAGCUUACAUAGACAACGGUGGUCUCCAUACCAAAAGGUGAUCAGCAUAUUGACUUCACCUGGGUGAGGCAUGUCCCCAGAGAGCUUUCCUCCUGACUCAUGGUUGCAGAGACAUGAGCCUAAGCCGGAAAGAAGGGGACAUAAGACAUUCGGCUCCGUUUGAUUUGGAUGGAGUCAGAAAAGCAACAUGGAACCUCUGACUUUCCAGGGAGAUUUUCCUGGAUAUGUCCCCAAACACAGUGUCCAUCCAGGCUCCAUUCACAUCUGCAGCAGCUGGACCUCAAGAGCCUGCUGGUGUGCUCUACACCCAUGCACUUGCCAGCAGUGGCCUGAGUUGCCAUCACAGCUGUUUUCACAGGUUUUGUUUGGGAACUCAGUGUGGGGCUUGGGAACAGCUGGGAGUUUCUGAGUAAUUGCAUACCCUGGGGGUGGAGGAAGGCCAAGUACAACAGCGUGUCCUCAGGACCCAUGACAGGGCAGUGUAGGAAAUCAGGUGAGAUGGCUCCUAAGAGUGGAGUUCCAGCCAUGGGGGUGGAGCUUGAAGCUCAGCCCAGAGGCAGAGACAGCAGUCCCUACAACACAAAGUAAGGCACCCCAGAGCCCUACCACACCCAAGGGUCACCUACUACUUCAAGGAAAUGUGGGUAUUUUAAAUGCAUAUUAGUAUCUCCCCUUUGCUAUGCUAGAACUACACAACUUGAAAGUCAAGUAGAAAGAAAAUGGAUGAUCUCCUUUGCUGUAAAAUGUGUUUUUGCUUUAAGAUUCAGAUCAAAUAUCAGCUUUGAAGCUUUCUUUAGCUUUCUUUGACCUUGUUCCUCUCUUCACUCCAGGAAGAUUGAUUGUCCGUUCUCUACAUCCAUGCCUAUUCUACCACCAGUGUAAAAUGUAAUCAUCUCCACUCAACUGGUCCAUGCUAAUUCAUUACUCACUGGGCUCUGGGGCCCUGAGGGUAUACUAGAGAGGAAAUGGGAGGCAGUCUUCUCUGUGGAUGUGAGGUAUCUCUGGCAGGGAUUAGACAUCUCACUCAGGUUGAUGGAAUCAAAUUUAAUCCACCCAAGGAUUUUGCACGCACAUUGGAAAUUUCCAAGAGAUAGGUCAAAAUAGCAAUCUACAAGCACAUUUGAAAACCUAACCUUUUAUUUGCUUUCCCAGGAGAAGGCCUUGGAAUACUUGACUCCGUUAGAUGUCAUUUGAAGUUGUCAGUAAGCCACUUCAUUGAAUGACAUGAUGUGUCCCUCCCCUAUCAUUAAAUUAUGAAUACACUCCACUGCCAAGCAAUGUGAGAUCUCAGGACUACAACAUGUUCCCCAAAAUAUAUCACUGUUAUCAAGGAGAAACCUUCUCUAAUACAAUAAAGAAAGGUAUGGUGCCAAAAAUAGUUUCAUUCUAGUAGAACCUUGUUCGUGGAGACCUGUUGCUCAAGGGGAUGUUAGCAUGCUCUAAAUCUCGAUUCUUCUCACUUCUGCAUCAAUAAAAUGCAAAUUCUCCUCUCAUCAUAAUUCUCAACUGUACCCAGAUUCCAAGAUCUUAUCCAUGACCCAACUUUGAAAAUCAGGUUUAGCACAACUUAUUCCCUGGCUUAGACCCUCUGUGAUCCUCUUAUUUUUAAAUCAGGAAUAAAAAAAGACAGCUUUUUGUGACCAGACAGCCAAGAAUCCCAGGUGGGAUUCGCUCCAAGAAGAGCACAUGCAUCUGUCAAGAUCCUGAAAAAUGGUUCCUCUUCAAAUCCUAAUUUUUUUCUUUAAGAGAAAAUAUAUAGAAACCACAAACAUAUUUGUAUCGUUGCCAUCCCAUGCCUUCAUUCUUGGAGGAAGUGUUGGAUUUUCUUGUUCUUUGGCUCUUUGGCUCAGAAAGCAAGGAGUGACAUCAGCGAGCUGAAACUACAAGUUCUACCACCCUUUCCGUGUUAAACUACGAUGUUUACUUCUCCGAGGGUUGGCCAAGAAAGUCCAUUUGGGCUGGAACGCCACAUAUUUAGUCUCAGAAUUAAGAAAGAACUAGGAGUGAAAUGGAACUGUAAAGUGUCUGCCCUUGAGGAUGCAUCAAUGAGAACAUAAUAAACAGAUGUCAAGUAUCCCUUGAAGACUACCCAGAAAGCUCUUGUCCAAACUGUUUCUUCUACUCACUCACUGCUGAUGCCUGAAAUCCCACCACUAACCAUAUGCUUCUUCAGCAUGAAUUGGUUAAUCUUCCAUCAGAGUACAGAUGGAGUCCACUUCCCAUUACUGUGCAUCUGGAUAGGUUUCAUGAUUGACUUUGUCCAAUAGAAUGCAUCAGAGGUGACUUUGGUGACUUCUGAGACUAGGUCUGAAGAGGUAUUACUGUUUCCUCCACUUUGGAUGCUACACUGAGUCUGCUGCAUAAGAAAUCUGGUCCAAACUACUAGAAGAUGAAAGGGCAUAUGGAAGACAACAAGGGCCCUCCAACCAAGAGCCAACAUCAGCUUCUGAAGCAGUGAGUAAGGCCAUCCUGGGUCUUUCCAUCCCUGUUGCUUCUCCAGCUGAAAGCAGUGACAUGAUCAAGUCCAAGGAAAGCAAAGGAGAGGCUGUUGAGCCAACCCACAGAAUUUUGAGAAAUAACAUUAUUUUUAAGCAGAGCCUAACUGAGCAAGGAAAGCAGACAAGAUUACUUCUAAGAUGCUGUCUACUCAUGAUUCCAAAGCCUCUGUGUAAUGCUAUUGUAAAAAUAUUUUACUAUAGUGAUAGCAAAAUAGAGCAAUAUUCAGAGAAGCAUCUACCAUUGAUUUUGCAAAGAAACUACAUACAGAGGAGAAGCGAGUCACCCAAGUUUGUCAUGAAGUGUUAUAUUGUAGAGCUGAGGAUGUGGUUUUGUUGAUAGGAAUGGCUUUUCUAGCAUUCACAAAGCCAUGGGUUCAAUUCCCAGACUGUAUAUAACUGACCAUGGUGGUAUGAUGGUGCAUGUUUAUAAUCCCAGCACUCAGAGGUGGAGUCAAGAAGACUGACAGUUCAAGUCAUUUUCCACUAUAUGACUAAUUUAAGUCCAGUCUAUGCUGCCUAAGACCUUCUCUCCAACAAAUUAAACUUAAAAUGGUAGAUUUUACAGCAUAGAACCUGACAGAGAGGAACACAAAUCCUGGCCCAUGAUCCAUACCUUCUUAACAGUUUCUCCACACACCUAAAAGAAUGGGUUGGACUGUUUCAUGAAUAGAGAUGCACUCCAUUGUGAAGUUAGCCAGGUCUACACAGAGAAAGGCCCCAAGAAACAGCCCAUUCUAGUGGACUACCCUUCCUAUUGAAUGACACUGACUCUUUCAUGCUUGUUUGGGACCAUGUUCAAAUGUGCAGACUUCAGCUGAAAUCAAGAGAGACUGAAACAGUCAGCCACACUUCAAAUAUUUAUUUUGUAUUCUAACAAUCAAUUUCUCAUCUCUCCUCCCAAUCUUUUUCCACCUGUUUGCAGAAAUAAUUACUAGUGCCCAAUUAUGAGCUCUCUGCCACUUUUCUCUCUGCAUUUCUGAAAGCACUCAGGAAAACUCUUCUCCUGAAGCGUAAGCCAUUACUAACAUAUCGUGGCGUCUGGCGUUGAUGUAGAGCCAAACUGGGAACUUCUGGGUUGGUCUUGGAUUGAGCUGAGGGGAGUUAAAUGUUUGGGGCAGGGGUGGAGUGGGGCUCCAACAAAAUGGCAAAAGUUAACUUCAAAAUGAAUGUCAGAAGAAAGAAUUAGAAGAGACAAUUAAAUAAACACCUGAGUGGAAAUUCCAGGGCUGGUGCCAUCGGCAGAGCAUGCAACACCCAUUUUAGACACAUUCUAAAGACAGUUUCAAUAAGGCAUCUGAGAAGGUGAAUCGAAUAAAUUCCAAAUCUUCAGAACAGGGUGGUUGCUAUGUGGCUUCCUAUGAGUGGACUAUUAAAUGAACUUUAAGGGGAAAAAAAUAAAACCUAGCAGUUUCUCCUGUCAUCGCCCAAUGAAAAAGAAGAGGAAAAGAAUCAGUUAGCCAGCAGAAUGACAUUCAGAUGUUGAAAGGGUGAAACCUGAGCAACACUUCGAAACCUUUGCUAGAAAACAAGAAGCUAGUGUUGAAAGUGAAGACACAAAGGCAAGCACUCUCCGAGGUUUAGCACACAGGCUGUGCCCACACUCUGAUUGGCAUGGACAAUUUGCCUAAGAAAACACAGCGGCCAGAUUCCAGCUAGCACCUUCUCACCUCCAUUUAUAACUGUAAGUGGCAAGGGUGAAGUUGAAAGGGAGAUGAUGGCCAGAACCUUCUCACAUACCUGCUGCUGCCAGCAUAUCUAGAACCAAUGGUUACCUAAGCCUCUCAUUUCAUUCCAACAUGUCUCAACCUACAAAGCAGGUCACACCCACAGAACUGUAGAAGAUUCACUAGCAUACUAGAAUGUCUUUGGUGUCUAGCAUACGUCAAAGACAAUGCAAGUGCUAAGAACAAAAGCCGGCAUCCACCAUCUAUCUAAGACCCAAUCAAUAUUGAUGACUAAGAGUGUUUAGUUUGGAAUAAAUAGCAUGUACAACUGUAGAUGAGACCCAGAUGAUGGAGAGAGCAUUGCAACUAAAAAUGAGAAGACAUGACAAGUUUAGUGAUCUAAUGAUUCCUUAAAAAAAAUUAAGUAUCACUUAAACUCUGGGAAGUCAGUCUCCUGACCCCGAAGCAAGAUAGCUCUACUGCAUGAUGCCUCCAAAGCCCCCUGAAGGUUUGCUGAAGAAAAGGUUGAGCAUCACCCCCUUUUUUGAGCAUCUCUUCUAAUCUACCGCAACUGCUGUAGUCUUCAUCCAAACCACAGUAGAGUUUAGAUAAAAUGAAUUGAACUCUGUCUGACUUUGGGACAAACUGGAUAUGGCUAAGUGUUUGCUAUAUGUUAGCAGAAAUAAAUUCAUUGAAACAAUUCUUGUUCAAGAGGUCAGAAGAUGGGAGGAUAUAGUGAUGCUCUGAUAUCACACAUGCACUCAAGGUUAAAAUAAGAAUCUACCAUAAUUUCUCAGCUUCUUCAUAAUGUGCUCCAUGCCUUUCUCCAAAGUUUUAUCCUGAAAUUAUUAUCCUAAAUUAUUAUCUUAAAAAUCACAUAUUACCUUUUAAUUUUCAUGGAAGAGUAAUCAAAAUAAUCAGUAUAAUUUUGUAGUGUAUUUAAGUAUAGAAAAAUUAAAUGUUAGCUUUUCAUUCAUCUGACAUAAGUGGUGUCCACUGAAAUGUGACUUGAUUUUACUAACUGGAACAUAAAAGUUGUAAGCAUGAAUGGUAUUAAAGCAAACAUCUCACCAACAUUCGACCCUUGGCUCCCUGGGAAAAGAGGUAAUUGGACUCCUCUAGAAAACUCUGGUACAGCAAAUAAAUGUUAUUUAGAACUAUGUCAUUUCGUCUAUUUCUUUUUAUCUUGUUAAAUUCAAAUAAAAUUAAAAUUGUCCCAUGAGGGAUUAGUUUUUAAACUUUCAUAAUAUAAUUCUUCAUACUAUUUUUUAGUGUCUAAAUU
ensembl:lncRNA